rnacentral:rRNA from 1 species
AUUGAACGCUGGCGGCAUGCUUUACACAUGCAAGUCGAACGGUAACAGGCCGCAAGGUGCUGACGAGUGGCGAACGGGUGAGUAAUGCAUCGGAACGUGCCCAGUCGUGGGGGAUAACUGCUCGAAAGAGCAGCUAAUACCGCAUACGAUCUAUGGAUGAAAGCGGGGGACCGUAAGGCCUCGCGCGAUUGGAGCGGCCGAUGUCAGAUUAGGUAGUUGGUGGGGUAAAGGCUCACCAAGCCAACGAGCUGUAGCUGGUCUGAGAGGACGACCGGCCACACUGGGACUGAGACACGGCCCAGACUACUACGGGAGGCAGCAGUGGGGAGUUUUGGACAAUGGGGGCAACCCUGAUUCAGCAAUGCCGCGUGCAGGAAGAAGGCCUUCGGGUUGUAAACUGCUUUUGUACGGAACGAAACGGUCUGGGUUAAUACCCUGGGCUAAUGACGGUACCGUAAGAAUAAGCACCGGCUAACUACGUGCCAGCCGCCGCAGUAAUAC